rnacentral:rRNA from 1 species
AGCGAACGCUGGCGGCAUGCCUAACACAUGCAAGUCGCACGGGGGGGCUUCGGCCUCCCAGUGGCGGACGGGUGAGGAACGCGUAGGGACCUGUCGAGGGGUGGGGGAUAACCGCGGGAAACUGCGGCUAAUACCGCAUGACGCCGCGGCGUGACAGCCGGGGCCAAAGGCGAAAGCCGCCCGCCGAGGGGCCUGCGUCCGAUUAGCUGGUUGGCGGGGUAGCGGCCCACCAAGGCGUCGAUCGGUAGCUGGUCUGAGAGGGUGAUCAGCCACACCGGGACUGAGACACGGCCCGGACUCCUACGGGAGGCAGCAGUGGGGAAUAUUGGACAAUGGGCGCAAGCCUGAUCCAGCAAUGCCGCGUGGGCGAAGAAGGUCUUCGGAUUGUAAAGCCCUUUCGGCGGGGACGAUGGUGACGGUACCCGCAGAAGAAGCCCCGGCUAACUUCGUG